AAUAUAUCUAAUGAUACAGUUGAGGACUUGUUAGGCAAAUUUUUCAAAAAUUUCCAAGGAGUGCCCGAAGUCGAUGAAUCCAUUCAGGAAUUUGAUAGAUGGUAUAAACCUAGAGAGGUAACUUACUUUCUUUUUGAGUACUCAUAAUUAGUAGUCGUUAUGUUUGCCAAACAGUAAUUCCUUAUGCAGGAGUAUGUCCUUUUAUACUUGUCUCCUCCUUCC
rnacentral:lncRNA from 1 species